rnacentral:lncRNA from 1 species
GAAGAGUUUUCCUAGAAUUGCUACACUCGGAGACAUGAGGCAAUGCUUACUCUGACUUUUGACGUUUUCAAGUGUACAGUUGAAAGUCAACAACAUGGGUGAAUGUGGCAACCCCUCCUUACACAAUCAGAGACAGUCACUGCCAAGCCGCUUCGUGGAUUGUCAUUAGCUUCCAAUGAGAAACAGGUGCACAAUCAAGGUCUAAAGAUAAAGAGGGUUAAGUGCAAGACAGCAGCCAUGACGUGUCGGUCCACGUACAGCCUGUCUGCCUGAGGGCUCAGUGAUCCAAAAAGACACUGCAGGUCAGCACUUCAGAGUGUUCGCAACAUCCGGGGUUACUUAACCCUGUGGCUUGACAAGCAGCAGAGAUUUGCAAACAAUGAUAGCUUCUGUGCCACUUCAGCCGAACACUGGCUCUGAAAACAGCCUCAGUAUCUGACAAGCUCUCAUUCCUGGGCUUGUGGCGUGGCUGUCCAUUGAGAGAGCCUAAGUAUAUCUUCAUGCCGAGGGGAUGGGAGCAUUUAUAUAAAUAAAUGUUUGCACUGAUUACAGCACUGCUGCCAAAGAGCUUGAUGGGCGAUGAUGAUCCGAUUUCGCCAUGGCAGCUUAUGUUUACAGAACCCGGCUCCAUUGCAGACAGGACAUCGAAUGUGUAACGCAGUAUUUAAAUGUCCACUGACAUUUACAGCUCGUGUCAGCCCAAGAGGGAAGAGGCGUUGGUGUCCCAGUCUGCCAAGGAGGGCUCCUGCUAUGGAAUGAAUGGUGUCACCCCGAAUCUCAUGUGUGGAAACCCUAAUGCCAAAGGGGAUGGUAUUUGGAGACGGAGCCUUUGGGAGAUGAUGAUGUUUACAUCAGGUCGUGAAGGUGGGAUCCUUAUGUUGGGAUUCGUGCCCUUGUAAGAAGAGACACCAGGGCACACAUGCUCCCUCGUGCUCCACCCCCCUCUCUCUCUGCCCUGCGAGACCAUCUGUAAACCAAGAAGAGGAACCUCUCAAGUACCCAACCAUGGUGCCACCUGGAUGUAAACAUUUCUGCCUCCAGUACUAUAGAGAAAUAAAUUUCUGUUAUUUAUGCCACCCCAUCUAUGGUCCAGUUAACCCUUAAACAACACAGGUUUGAAUUGCACGGGUCCACUUCUACGGGCAUUUUCUUCUACCUCUGCCACCCCGGAGCCAGCAAGACCAAUCCCUCCUGUCCGCUCUCAUCUUAGGCUACUCAAGGUGAAGACGAUAAGGAUGAAGACCUUCAUGACGAUCCACUCCCACUUCAGAAAUACUCUCCAGCUCCAGCAGCACUGAGGCAGAUCUGAGUUUCUCGAAGCUGGGCCCAUCACCAACAAGACAGUGAUGGUGAAAGCAAUGAUAGAAGAGGUCGAAUUUAGAGUAAGGAUCAGGAUGGACAGGGGAGAAACACUGAUUGGAGAAAAUUUACAGUUGCUGUUUAGACACUUGAGCCUCAGGAUCGAGAAAAGGUGCACCUCUUAGAUGGGCCUUAAAUUGGAGAUGAUGAUAUCUAACCACCUGGAGACGGGAAAGUAGGUGUCACUCAAUGCUGAACGGUGCUACUCAUCUGUGAGAUUGUAUAAUGAAGUUUUGGAGACUGAGCCUGUACCUUCAUCUGUUCUUUAACCAAUGCACACUUAACAAGCACGUCAUGUUUAGCUGCUCAGCAGAGCUUCCUUCUUCAGAAACAGAGACGGGGUGCGGAGGCAUUUUACAACCCAGGGGGCUCCAGCUUCAUAGACUGUCUUGUGAGGAUCUAUGCUGUUACUCUGAGGAUCAGCGUUGGUUUUCCAAGUCCUUCAUGAACAUAACAAGUCAAUGAUAAGACGACAAGUUCCACCGCUGUGCCUCA